rnacentral:rRNA from 1 species
ACGUACACUCCUGCGGGAGGCAGCAGUGGGGAAUAUUGGACAAUGGGCGCAAGCCUGAUCCAGCCAUGCCGCGUGAGUGAUGAAGGCCCUAGGGUUGUAAAGCUCUUUCACCGGUGAAGAUAAUGACGGUAACCGGAGAAGAAGCCCCGGCUAACUUCGUGCCAGCAGCCGCGGUAAUACGAAGGGGGCUAGCGUUGUUCGGAUUUACUGGGCGUAAAGCGCACGUAGGCGGACUAUUAAGUCAGGGGUGAAAUCCCGGGGCUCAACCCCGGAACUGCCUUUGAUACUGGUAGUCUUGAGUUCGAGAGAGGUGAGUGGAAUUCCGAGUGUAGAGGUGAAAUUCGUAGAUAUUCGGAUGAACACCAGUGGCGAAGGCGGCUCACUGGCUCGAUACUGACGCUGAGGUGCGAAAGCGUGGGGAGCAAACAGGAUUAGAUACCCCAGUAGUCCCAUGA